rnacentral:piRNA from 1 species
UUUUCGAAAGACUGGUUUGCUGUUUUGAUGU